rnacentral:misc_RNA from 1 species
UGUCCUUCGCCUUCGUGGUGGUUUUUGAAUUUGUCUUUUGCAUUCUGGUUUGCUGAUAUGUAUGUCUUGCUUUUAUAACUGUUUAGUGGCUUUGGAUUUGUGGUUGCUAGCCAUGUAGAAUGGCAUACUCUUGGAAGUUUUUGUGUGUUUGCUUAUGUUUUGUGGGUACUACAAAGAUGCUGUAAUUAUCUGUGCUAUUGCAGUGCAGGUUUUAUGGAAUAAAGUAUAUUUUAAGUGUACGUUCAACUCUUUUACUGGUGGUAGGGUUUAUGUAUUGCGUAUACGUUGAGGGUAGUGUGGUGUGCAUAAAAUAAGCAGACAGUGUAGAUGGGAUAUUCAGAAAUGCAAUUGUGCAGCUGCCUGGAAAGUGUAGGGGGCCUGUUAUAUGCCCAAUGUAUUUGGCAGGUCUCUGUACUUUGUUGUUAGUUGUUAUAGCGAGUCUGUUAGUUUGGAUGGCUUAGUUCAACUGCAUUUCCUCGUGUAUUUCAACUUUCAAAGUGCUUUUGGCCCUU